rnacentral:rRNA from 1 species
CGCGUAGGCGGAAUAUUAAGUCAGUGGUGAAAUCCUGCGGCUCAACCGUAGAACUGCCAUUGAUACUGUUAUUCUUGAAUGUAGUUGAGGUAGGCGGAAUGUGUAAUGUAGCGGUGAAAUGCUUAGAUAUUACACAGAACACCGAUUGCGAAGGCAGCUUACUAAACUAUGAUUGACGCUGAUGCACGAAAGCGUGGGGAGCGAACAGGAUUAGAUACCCUGGUAGUCC